rnacentral:rRNA from 1 species
CCCCCACACUGGUACUGAGACACGGACCAGACUCCUACGGGAGGCAGCAGUAAGGAAUAUUGGUCAAUGGGCGGAAGCCUGAACCAGCCAUGCCGCGUGCAGGAAGACGGCCCUACGGGUUGUAAACUGCUUUUGCAGGGGAAUAAACCUCAUUACGUGUAAUGAGCUGAAUGUACUCUGAGAAUAAGGAUCGGCUAACUCCGUGCCAGCAGCCGCGGUAAUACGGAGGAUCCAAGCGUUAUCCGGAUUUAUUGGGUUUAAAGGGUGCGUAGGUGGCCUGUUAAGUCAGGGGUGAAAGACGGUAGCUUAACUAUCGCAGUGCCCUUGAUACUGAUGGGCUUGAAUGAACUAGAGGUAAGCGGAAUGUGACAAGUAGCGGUGAAAUGCAUAGAUAUGUCACAGAACACCAAUUGCGAAGGCAGCUUACUAUGGUUUUAUUGACACUGAGGCACGAAAGCGUGGGGAUCAAACAGGAUUAGAUACCCUGGUAGUCCACGCCCUAAACGAUGAAUACUCGAUGUUGGCGAUAUACGGUCAGCGUCUAAGCGAAAGCGUUAAG